rnacentral:lncRNA from 1 species
ACUCAUAUAUCUUUUAUCCAUAAAAUUUUCAGAAUUUUUAGUUUGGCCAAUCAAUACCAGAUUUUUCUUAAAGUUUCCCUUGUUUCACUGUUUGACUAAUCUGACCACUCUUCACUACGAAAUAAAUUUCUCAUUGUACAGAAUUCAAAACAUGUCCUUGUUUAUUUAAUUUGAAACUAGACUCAUUAAGGAGUCUAAGCAUAUAAAUUUCAUCAUUUGAAUAUUUUUAUACGUUUUAUAGUGAUUUUAUAAAAACAGAAUAGGG